rnacentral:misc_RNA from 1 species
GCUUCGUCGACCACCUUGACGGUCAGGUCGCACCGUUCGGAAUGCUUGGAGGCAGCCAUAAUUGAAUCCUUGGAAUUGGAAUUUCGCGGCAAUCGUACCACGCUCGCGCCAGCGAAACCAAGAAUUCGGACCGGAUUGCAGCCCCAAGGAAUGGGGUCUCCAUCAUUUUUCAAGAAAAAACGGCGUGAAGUGAACCAGUGAGGCUCCUGGACUACAAAAGGCGCGUU